CGUGGAGAGCCAGGACCAAAGGGUGAACCAGGUCCUCCAGGAAUGACAGGUCAGGAUGGAUCUGAGGGUCCUUUGGGUUCUCAUGGACCAAGAGGAAUUGCGGUCCGAGGUCCAGUGGGUCCUCCUGGAGAGCGUGGUGAAAAAGGAGAAACUGGAAAACCUGGAUCACAGGGUCCUCCUGGUCCACAAGGUCCUAAGGAAAGAGUGGCAUGCCAGGACCAAAGGGAAUCCGUGGCUUAGAAGGAACUCCAGGUGCACCUGGGCCUACGGGACUACCGG